rnacentral:rRNA from 1 species
GCAGCAGCCGCGGGAAUACAGAGGGUGCGAGCGUUAAUCGGAUUUACUGGGCGUAAAGCGUGCGUAGGCGGCUUCUUAAGUCGGAUGUGAAAUCCCUGAGCUUAACUUAGGAAUUGCAUUCGAUACUGGGAAGCUAGAGUAUGGGAGAGGAUGGUAGAAUUCCAGGUGUAGCGGUGAAAUGCGUAGAGAUCUGGAGGAAUACCGAUGGCGAAGGCAGCCAUCUGGCCUAAUACUGACGCUGAGGUACGAAAGCAUGGGGAGCAAACAGGAUUAGAUACCCGCGUAGUCCCUGUCUCUUAUAC